GGGAACGAGAAAAAAAUUGUGGUACGGAAGAGAAAAGUUCUGCUUGAUCUUUUUAUGAGUUCUCAUUGGCCCUCGGACGAUUCUGGAAGGUGCGUCAAAAUAGACGUGUGGAACUCGGGUCUGCACAAGCGUUUCAACUCUGAAACUUAUUUUUAUGUUACCCAUUAGAAAAGAGGACUAUUGUUUCCAUUAACUUUAAGGUCAUUUGGUCGCUUUUUAAACUUUGCUUUCCUACGAAUAAAACCGAAAGCAAAACAGCCCAAAGUUUAAGUGGACACCAGGUAAGAUAAUCUGCGAUUAACGAAAUUCAAUAAGAUUUCGCCUCUUGAAUGUACUAUAAAAGCGUGGCCUUUCCGUCGUGAAAUAUAUACAGAAUUUAACAUGAUUAAGCUACUGAUCGUGACUGUUCUACUAAUGGUAUUAGUUGGCAUGGGAGUAGCAAAAAAAAAAAAUUGCAAUCAAGGCUGUUAUUGCACCUUCGAAUAUUGUAAAUCAGAUGAAGACCGCUGCAUGCCCUGUGGCAAUGAUUAUAGAAGUGAGUGUUGCAAGAAAUAAUAAGAAGCCUUAGGAACACGGAAACAAGCAUCUUCUUUCAAAUCAAAUACGCUUGUUGCAUAGCAUGUAAAGAAUUAAAUAAAUCAUAUAAUUGAAAA